CCUACGGGUGGCUGCAGUCGAGAAUCUUCGGCAAUGGGCGCAAGCCUGACCGAGCGACGCCGCGUGGAGGACGAAGGCCUUCGGGUUGUAAACUCCUGUCGAGGGGGAAGAAGCCGCAAGGUUGACUGAUCCCUGGAGGAAGCACGGGCUAAGUUCGUGCCAGCAGCCGCGGUAAGACGAACCGUGCGAACGUUAUUCGGAAUCACUGGGCUUAAAGCGCGUGUAGGCGGGGUGGCACGUCGGUCGCUGAAAGCCCCCGGCUCAACCGGGGAAGU
rnacentral:rRNA from 1 species